GAAACGCGAUAGGUAUUGUGAAUUGCAGAAUCAGGGAAUCAUCGAAUUUUUGAACGCACCUUGCGCUCCCUGGUAUUCCUAGGAGCAUGCCUGUUUGAGUGUUGAUAGCCUCUCCAAACCUUGGUUUUUUAUUAAAUCAAGUGCUUUGGGUCCCUGGGCCUGUAGCGGCGACGUUACUUGCCUUAAAAGGAUCAAAGAAGACCCAAUCGGAUGUUAAGCAUGAUAUCCUUUGCGUUCUUUGAACGACUAUAAACUAUAUAUACAACCUCAAAUCAGGUAGGACUACCCGCUGAACUUAA
rnacentral:misc_RNA from 1 species